rnacentral:misc_RNA from 1 species
GAUGAAGAACGCAGCGAAAUGCGAUAAGUAGUGUGAAUUGCAGAAUUCAGUGAAUCAUCGAAUCUUUGAACGCACAUUGCGCCCCUUGGUAUCCCGAGGGGCAUGCCUGUUCGAGCGUCAUUUCACCACUCAAGCCUGGCUUGGUGUUGGGCGACGUCCCCUUUGGGGACGCGCCUCGAAACGCUCGGCGGCGUGGCACCGGCUUUAAGCGUAGCAGAAUCUUUCGCUUUGGAAGUCGGGGCCCCGUCUGCCGGAAGACCUACUCGCAAGGUUGACCUCGGAUCAGGCAGGGAUACCCGCUGAACUUAAGCAUAUCGAUAAGCGGAGGA